GUACAAUGUAACGAUAAUUAUGAACAUCCUUUCUGAAGCUAUAAUGUUGUCACUAGACAUCUCUGCCAUCUUCUAAUAACAUUGCCCUUUCUUCCACUGUUCAAACACCUAACUGAUGAACCCCAGCUGUCUGCUCUCAGAAGUGGAUGCAACACCAUGAGUUAAGCAACACCUCGAACCCAGCAGUUUUGGAAUUCACUUGGAUGCACUGGAAGAGUCGUAUUUCCAAGUUUACAGGGUCACGAUUAACUAGUCUUAUUACCUUUUGGGGAUGGACAGCUAAGGUAUUUGAGAUGAAGAAAGAUAAAGAGUGUUUGGUAGUGAUAGGAUUUGGAGAUGCAAACUUCGACAUCUAAAAUACAGAAAAUUAACAAAUACUAUCUUUUGAAGUCCUUGAAUUGGGAAAUUAGGAUGUCACAGUAAAGUGACAUUAAGUGCAGAAGUGCUCUGGUUUUCUGGUCCGCAGCAGAGUUCACUUGGGUUUCUUCGUGAAAGUACAUGAGGCUGAUUGCCCCGAAGUCACUUCCUGCAGCAUGUCCUUCACCCCGGGCUUACCCUGUUGAGUCGGGGAACCCAGCAGGCGGCUCUGCCCCUACCAUUACCUACUAUGUCUGCCUCUCACAGUGCCCCAGUUUUUGUCUAAAAAUGAAGCAGAAACAAAGCUGGCUGCGUGGCUGUUUGAGGACUUAGGAGCUGUUGUCCAGCACCCCAUACCAUUUCCCUGGGGAGGGCUCAGCACUAGCUGAAAUCCACUUUAUUCCGGUGUCGGUGGAGUUUCUAAUCAGAACAAACGCCUGCCGCCCUCACUUCCGUUUCAGCUGGCGCUCACAUGGGAAGGGGGUGCACGCUGCCCAGUGGUGGAAUAUUUAAGGCAUCGCCCCUCAGGGAGCCGAGCACUGAUUUCCACAGCCGGGGGCCUGCACUCCACUUUUGACCAUGGGGAAGGAGGUCUCUCUUCCGUGGCCCAAGGACUUCUGAAUUGUGUUCUUGGAGAGGAAGCGUGCUGGGAGCCCAGAUAGUGGGGCUGAGACACUGUGUCUCAGGCACAGAGGUAGUCGUGUCCCUUGUCCCAGAUGAAGAAAGAUAAAGAGUGUUUGGUAGUGAUAGAUUUGGAGAUGCAAACUUUGACAUCUGAAAUACAGGAAAUUAACAAAUACUAG
rnacentral:lncRNA from 1 species